GGGCUGACGCUCUGCUGCUGAGGUUAGGACCAUUGCUGUUUGCUCAGCUGCUUUGUGCUUUUGGAAAGCAAGGGGAAAAGUAGCUUAAAUUCUGGUUUCUUUCUCCUCCCCCAAGAACCAUGUUCUCAUGAUAAAUUUGUAACCAGAGCCCAGUGUUUUCAGAUUAUGUUUGAUAACUUAGAAAAGCAGUGUGGUUCCAAAUCUUACCUUUCCAUCCUGCUCCCUUUCAACAGAUUUCAGUGCCAUAUUCUACUUUAGGAGCAUCAUUCAUUAGGAUAAAAGUAAUUGGGUCCCUCUGUCUGCUUAGGAUAUGCAUAUGACAGACACUUCCUGGACUUCAGCUAUUUUUCUGUGAAAUUCUGCUAAUGAAAAGCUGGUCAUGCGGGAUGGUUUGUCCUUUUAAAUCUAUAGCAUGGGAUGACAUUACUGUAUUGCUUCCCAUCUGCUGUCACUGAGGUCACUGCUCUGGCACAGAGCAGAACAGCUGCAGAGAUUGAGUGAUGGCUCUGCUACUGCUUCCUGGAGGGAUGAAAGUGGAAAUAAGCCUCAGGAAAAGGAAAUUGUCAGCCAUGCUCCCUGUCCUGGCCAUCUGAGUAUGGGAAAGGCUUGGCAAGUGUCUCCAUUUUUUUUUUCCUUGGAGAAAGGCAGGAUCUUUUCCCCCUGUCUGCUAAGCUACUGCUUAAAUAAAACUGCCAUAAUGUACUUUCAGUGGUGAUUCUUGACAUUGUCCCAUUUCAGGUGUGGGCCCCACCUCACCCCACUGUCCAAGAAGACUGUUAAUGUUGAGGAUUGUCUCUAGAAGCCACAUCCAGAAAGUGUUUCUGCUCCUUUUGCUGUGGAAUGAAAGCUGUACAUCACAAACUGGGACAGUAAGGAAUAACCAGCCUACCUGGCAGCAAUGAGAAACAUCCCUGAAGGCUUCCUUUGUCCAAGAGCAGCUAAUCACAAGCUAAAAUUCCUAUAAUGCAGGAGAUAGGAAUGCACGGCACAAGGAGCGCUCAUGACCUGAGAAACAGGAUCUACACGUGCAAGUCUCUACACCUGCUCUUGAAGGAGAUAAGAGUUGGGUCAUGACUUGGAGAAAUAAGAAAAGCAAAAAGGAGGAGGAACAUGAUUUCCUUUGCAGGUGACAGCUUUGGCUGGUGCAGUUCAGUGGCAGAGCUGUGGCUUUGGGAUUAGCACAGUGUUAUCCUGUGCCUGAAUUGCCCCUGGCCUGGGAGAACCUUUGUGAUGCCUUGAGCCUCCACUGGAAAGUGCUCAGAGACAUAGAUGGUAUGAAAAACAGCACAUUCAAGCCAGAAAGAGGACAGGAAAGAGGACUGCAGAAGGGACCAGAAUACUUAACAGUCAGCAAAGCGUAAGUAAAUAGACAAGUUAUGAUCAAUGAGUUUGUUUGAAUUUGACAGAGCUUUCCUACAAACAUGGGGGAGGGAAGGGGAGUGAAACGUUCCCCGCCACUGUGAGCUGUAAUAAGGGACCUGCUGUUUUCUGAUUCUCACUCUCUGUGAAAAUUGAAAAGGUUAGCCAGGUAAUUGAAAUCGGGACUGGAAUACAAAUACGGUGGUGAAAACCCUACAGCUGGCAGAAAAGAGUCAAUCCUCGAUGGAA